AAAGGAGCUGGAAAGGGGAGAGGAGGAGGACGGCUGUGAUUCCUCCUCUUCCUGGGCUGGAGAUGGAGCAGCUCCUGGCUCUGAGCACCAUUUGCAGCCAGGGAUUUGCAGGAUUUGGAUGAAACUCUUUGCUGCAACAACUCAUUUUGGGAGAGUUUGCUGCAAAACCUGCAUCCCACCUGGAACUGCAGCCUCUAUUCCCAACGGAGGAGCCUUUUUCUCCCAUCCUGGAUGCUGAGACGGCCCAGAGCCUCCAGCCAUGGAGCUGGGCUGUCCCUCCAUGGAUGCCAUCCCCAUCCUGGAGCUGCUGGAGCAGGCCUGGCCCUCCCAACCUCAGCAGGCGUUUGUGGGAGCCCAGGGAGCUGAGCUGGGAUAUCCCAAAACCUGGCUGAGCGCCCCAGAGCUCCCUCCCUGCUGGCCACCGGCGGCUUCUGAGCUGGGACGGAUUUGGUCCGGGACAAGGGAGGUGAAGAUGGAGAAUGGAAGUGAAGGACGAGCUUGGAGCUGGCAGCAGCAGGGCUUUUCCAGCUCCAAAGACCACGGGGUUGGGAAGAGGAGCCACGGAGAUGCCGGCUCUGGCCGUCAGCAAAUCCAGCAGAUCCAGGCAUAAAGGGCAGGUAACAGAGGCAUUUUUAAGCUGUGUUUGCUGGCUCCUCCAUCCAUCCAUCCUGCCUUUACCAGCUCUGCCAGCAUGGAAUCAUGCAAUAUCCUAAAUGGGAAGGGACCCACGAGGAUCUCUGCAAUCCAACUCCUGGCUCUGCACAGGACAAGCCAGCAAUCCCACCGUGUCCCUGAGAGUGUUGUCCCAGCUCUUCCUGGCCUCUGCCAGACGUGGGGCUGUGACCAUUCCCUGGACAGGGAGACUUUAACAGCUGGCUCCAGAAUCACCCUGGAGUUUGGAAAGAGGGUUAAUCUGGGCUCAGGACUUGGUGUGAUGAUGCAGAAAUGAAGAUGCAGAAGAGGAUAUUUCCCUUUGAGCUCCUCACAGGUGAAUUUCCUCCUCCUGAGGCUCUCUGGGUGGAUGAAAUGGGGAUGUUGGAAGCUGGCAGGUGUUGGACUAGAGAUCUCCAGAGGUCCCUCCCAGCCUACGUGCUUCUCCAGGUGCUGGAAUUAAAUGUCCCGAGAGAUGCAGCUGCCUGCAGUCACCAGGACUGGUGUUGGGAUGUUUCCUUUUGCCUGAAUGAUUUCACACCUGGCACUUCACCCCUGCCCUCUCUCCUGCUCUGCCCCCAGCUUGCCCACUCUUCUUCCAGAGCAGAACUGUGAGAAGUUUUGUUGCUCCCAGGCUGCCUUCCCACCCCUUAUCCUCUCUCUGAGGAGAAGCUUCCUCUGGUGUCUCAUCCCUUCUCCCCUCCCCAUGCUCGGGCUGUCAUUCAUUGUCCCAUUCCGGUCCCCUUGUUCCCUUCCUGAGCACACUCACAUUGGAUAUUAGGAAAUAUUUCUGCCCUGAAAGGGUGGUCAGGCACUGGCCAGGCUGCCCAGGGCAGUGCUGGGGUGGCAGGGAUUUAAAAGCUGUGUGGAUGUGGCUCUUGGGGACAAGGAUUAGUGGCGGCCUUAGUGCUGGGGAAUGGUUGGACGUGAUGACCCCCGAGCGCUUUAGGAUCACAAAAAUCCCGGGAUUCUGUGGGUCACCUGGAAUGUUCCUUAGACCCCUUAAAAGCAGGAUGGGGCUUACAAAGCUCAGCUGGGCCUUGUGGUGUCCCCAGGCCCACCCUGGCAGGGCUGACAGUGAGAGCUGCCUGGAGCAUCCCUUCCCGACAUUUCCAAAGGCGGGAGCUCCACAGCUCCAUCGUGAUGCCCACCCUGCCCAAACAGGGAGCUUCUCCUGGGGCUUGCCUGCCCUGCUGAUGAGACCCUGUGCUCUCAGUGUGCUCAUAUCCCAGAUGCCAGAGUAGGAACCAGGACAUCCCCUCACCCAAGUCCUGUGUUUAAUCUCCAGCUCUCAGCUCUGAGUGGCAAUAUUUGCCUGGGCUCUGAGCCAUCUCUCCUGCCCUCUCCACCGUGGGGCACGUGGAGGUGGCAGCUGCUUUAGCAGAGCUGCUGCUGGGGCCCUUUCCUGCCCUGCAUCCCAUCAUUGGUCAUGUUUCAUGUGGCUCCUCCGCUUGCAAUUUGUCAGGGCUUUAUCUGAACAUCUGCAUCCCGGCCUCUUAUUAAGCCCUUAGAAAAAUAGAAGUGUCUGAUGCCGGAAUAGCUUUAAAUUUGGAAGCAGAGUGGGAGUAGAUGGGAGAAAAUGCAUUGCCCUUGAUGUAAUCAUCAGAGGAGGACAGUUCUGAACAAUGACCAGAUCGUCCUCGCCCCGAUGAUGACAGCAAUUUCUGACUUAUCACCCCCCAGCACUAUAUUAAGGCACUGAGAUUACAGUGUUAUUCAUUAGCACCACAUCUGCUGGAAAUCAGCGUGGGGAAGGCUGCUGAGGGUGCUAAAGCGCUUCAGGAUGGCACAGAGAGCGUACUCCCCCCAAAAGGGAGAAUCAUGUCCUUCCCCUGCCGGGGGUGGCUCGGCGCUGAUGGGCCGUGACCCCGCGGGCAGCCCUGGAUGGAGCUGCCGGGGACAGGGGCCGCUGAGAGCAGCAGGUGCCAGCCCUGCCCACCCAGGGGGCUUGGCUGAGGCUCUUCCUUUGUUCCUGCCUGUUCCAAGGGGUCUCUUCCUGUCCUGGCACAGCUCUUUGCAUGGCACAUCAGGUUUAACCCAUGUCACAGCUUCACUUCCGUGCCAUGGAAUGAAGAUCCCGUUUCCUGCAUUUUGAGGCUCUCAAAGAUUCUCGGUCUCCAU